rnacentral:lncRNA from 1 species
GCAUAUAUUUUUUGAAUUAUUCACAUAAAUGAUACAAAUAUACAUUUAUAUGUUUUCCUGUUAUUUUGAGGUUUUCCAGGUCCACAACCAUAUCACUUGGCAAACAGUUUGUUACAUUUGUUUUCUUGGUUUAUUCCUCUGACCAGAAAUUCCAGGACAAUAUUAACUAAUGACAGUAGAAAUUCUUGUCCUGUUCCUCAUGAUCUCCCUGGUAUUUUGUCAGACGAGACCCGUAAGCCAGAAAGAGGUUCAGAACCACAGUUCUAGAAGCGCCAGUGGUGCCUGGAGGUCCCCAGAGCACAGACCAGUUUUAGUGAGUGACUGAAGUAACCACUGAAGAUGGUGACCAGGAGUAGGCUGGAGGACACCCAGAGCCCACGUCUAAACCCAGACGUUCUGCUUGAGAAGCAGAGGGACUGUUUGGAAGUCGGCUCCCUCCAGAAUUCAUUCAAUCCUGUGCCCUUCAUGCAUGUCACCCAAUGAAUAAGGGAAUAAAAAUACAAGGCAUUCAAAUAAAAGGCAAAUAUUACCGUCUCCACAGUGCCAGACUUUGAGGAAUGCUUAGAAAGAAGCAGCGCUAAACCCUCAACUCUGAUUCCAAUGCAUCCAUGCAGGCCCGGCUCCCUCCGCACAGAAGGCGCGGUCACUGAGCCGGAGCCGCCAGCCAGGCAGCAGAGGCACUUCGGCCCGCCCUCCAGACACCCUGCUGCCCUGGGCUGGCUCUCACAGGUCUCCCCACGGGGCAAGGUUGGCCCCAGGGCCCUGGUCCCGUGUGUGGGAAGUGAACCGAGUUCCCGGUCCUGACCACCCUGUGCGCCCUAGAGGCCGAGUCAGGGGAGCCUGCUCUACCACGGUGGUGGUGUUCUCCGAGAGCUCUGCUCCUAGUUUUUGUUGUUAAAAUGCUGACUUUCUGGACAACAGGAGCCCAGGUGCACACCUCCCCCUCCUCCUGCCCAGUGUCCCUGCGGCCUGGAUCCUAAGAAGUCAGGGGUCAGCUCAGCAAACCCACCC